rnacentral:rRNA from 1 species
GCAGCCGCGGUAAUACGGAGGGGGUUAGCGUUGUUCGGAAUUACUGGGCGUAAAGCGCACGUAGGCGGAUCGGAAAGUUGGGGGUGAAAUCCCGGGGCUCAACCCCGGAACUGCCUCCAAAACUAUCGGUCUAGAGUUCGAGAGAGGUGAGUGGAGUUCCGAGUGUAGAGGUGAAAUUCGUAGAUAUUCGGAGGAACACCAGUGGCGAAGGCGGCUCACUGGCUCGAUACUGACGCUGAGGUGCGAAAGUGUGGGGAGCAAACAGGAUUAGAUACCCUGGUAGUCCACACCGUAAACGAUGAAUGCCAGUCGUCGGGCAGCAUGCUAUUCGGUGACACACCUAACGGAUUAAGCAUUCCGCCUGGGGAGUACGGUCGCAAGAUUAAAACUCAAAGGAAUUGACGGGGGCCCGCACAAGCGGUGGAGCAUGUGGUUAAUUCGAAGCAACGCGCAGAACCUUACCAACCCUUGACAUCCUAGGACCGGCCCAGAGAUGGGUCUUUCACUUCGGUGACCUAGUGACAGGUGCUGCAUGGCUGUCGUCAGCUCGUGUCGUGAGAUGUUCGGUUAAGUCCGGCAACGAGCGCAACCCACAUCCUUAGUUGCCAGCAGUUCGGCUGGGCACUCUAGGGAAACUGCCCGUGAUAAGCGGGAGGAAGGUGUGGAUGACGUCAAGUCCUCAUGGCCCUUACGGGUUGGGCUACACACGUGCUACAAUGGCAGUGACAAUGGGUUAAUCCCAAAAAACUGUCUCAGUUCGGAUUGGGGUCCGCAACUCACCCCAUGAAGUCGGAAUCGCUAAUAUCGCGUAACAGCAUGACGCGGUGAAUACGUUCCCGGGCCUUGUACACACCGCCCGU